UACGGAGGAUGCAAGCGUUAUCCGGAUUCAUUGGGUUUAAAGGGUACGUAGGUGGUUUCUUAAGUCAGAGGUGAAAGGCUACGGCUCAACCGUAGUAAGCCUUUGAAACUGGGAAACUUGAGUGCAGGAGAGGAGAGUGGAAUUCCUAGUGUAGCGGUGAAAUGCGUAGAUAUUAGGAGGAACACCAGUUGCGAAGGCGGCUCUCUGGACUGUAACUGACACUGAGGCACGAAAGCGUGGGGAGCAAACAGGAUUAGAUACCCUGGUAGUCCCUGA
rnacentral:rRNA from 1 species